rnacentral:rRNA from 1 species
GUGGGGAAUAUUGGACAAUGGGCGCAAGCCUGAUCCAGCCAUGCCGCGUGAGUGAUGAAGGCCCUAGGGUUGUAAAGCUCUUUCGCCAGGGACGAUAAUGACGGUACCUGGAUAAGAAGCCCCGGCUAACUUCGUGCCAGCAGCCGCGGUAAUACGAAGGGGGCUAGCGUUGUUCGGAAUCACUGGGCGUAAAGCGCACGUAGGCGGAUCUUUAAGUCAGGGGUGAAAUCCCGAGGCUCAACCUCGGAACUGCCUUUGAUACUGGAGGUCUCGAGUCCGGGAGAGGUGAGUGGAACUGCGAGUGUAGAGGUGAAAUUCGUAGAUAUUCGCAAGAACACCAGUGGCGAAGGCGGCUCACUGGCCCGGAACUGACGCUGAGGUGCGAAAGCGUGGGGAGCAAACAGGAUUAGAAACCCGGGUAGUCC